AUCCUGGCUCAGGACGAACGCUGGCGGCGUGCCUAAUACAUGCAAGUCGAGCGGACAGAAGGGAGCUUGCUCCCGGAUGUUAGCGGCGGACGGGUGAGUAACACGUGGGUAACCUGCCUGUAAGACUGGGAUAACUCCGGGAAACCGGAGCUAAUACCGGAUAGUUCCUUGAACCGCAUGGUUCAAGGAUGAAAGACGGUUUCGGCUGUCACUUACAGAUGGACCCGCGGCGCAUUAGCUAGUUGGUGGGGUAAUGGCUCACCAAGGCGACGAUGCGUAGCCGACCUGAGAGGGUGAUCGGCCACACUGGGACUGAGACACGGCCCAGACUCCUACGGGAGGCAGCAGUAGGGAAUCUUCCGCAAUGGACGAAAGUCUGACGGAGCAACGCCGCGUGAGUGAUGAAGGUUUUCGGAUCGUAAAGCUCUGUUGUUAGGGAAGAACAAGUACGAGAGUAACUGCUCGCACCUUGACG
rnacentral:rRNA from 1 species